rnacentral:lncRNA from 1 species
ACUGUUGAUAUGGAUGGUAGUGCUCCAGAUGGGAAUGGUCAAUCAAUUGAUGCUACGCAACGGCUUUUUAAAGCCUUCCAUACAUACUGUGGACGAAAAGGGGUAUGUUAAUUAAUGAUAUAAUGCAAUGUAGAAGACCAUGUAGCAUUUCAACUAAUGUUUCAAUUGAUUUUAAAUGAUGUUUCAGAUUCAAGCGAGAAGCAUUGUUCUUUAUGGUAAUGAUGUUUCGAAGGCACUUGUAGACUACAUAAAUGAGAACAACAUCACCAAUAUUUUCAUGUUUGGUUAUUUUAGUUUAAACAGAAGAAAUCCUUGCAUUUAUUGUAGAUGCUGGCUUCAUGGACUUAUAAAAAAUUGGCAGCUGAAGUCAAUAGCUAUAUGGUAGGAAAUAGCUCUUGCUAUAGCUCUGCAGGAGGAAGAAUUGGGUAAGGGGGAGUUCUAAGCAUAUACGCAGUUAGAAUUAAAAUGCGGAGGGGCGUAAGUUGUAGCAGUUGCAGGCACUUUCCCCAUAGCACAUAAGCAAAAUAGAAUCAGUGUGCAUAGAGAUGUGAAUAAUGCAGAAGUUCCUAGCAGAGUGUCUAUUAUUAUAAUUGCCUUUGACAUUGACAUACUCUGGAAGUAGUUUCAUUGUUAGUUUCAUAUUCACCACAUACGUACUAACAUAAUUAAUCUUUUCUUGUUUUUCUCAGUUGUUUUUAUUUAAUUUUAUACUCCCCUCACUUCUAAAUUAGAGAUGCAUUUUUUUGUCCAUUCCAAAAAAUAAAGUUAGUGAUAAUUUGAAAAAAAAAUAAAGUUUUUAAAAUGUAUCUCUAGAAUGGAGGGAGUGAAUAUAUAUAUACUCACACUGGCGCACACACACACAUGUUAAUUAUUUGUAAAGUUGUGUGCUUGUAGUGUAAAUGCUUUGCAAUUCCUUGUUCUUUGAAUUUGUUUAUUUCUUUCAUCUAAUAGUUUUUUUUCAAUAUUAUGCAGAUUGACAGAUGGUAGCUGUUGGCAACAUGAUGUUGAAAGUUAAAGGGAGAAAUCAGGUAUCUUGUGUUAUAUUAAAACUUAAUAUUGGCAAAGUUAGGAUAAGCCUGCUAAAUUGGAAUGACAGAAGAAAGAAAUAUAGGGGCAAAAUAAUUUAGUAAGCAGUUACUUUUGUAGUCUUGAAAUUCUCUAAAGAUUAACAGAACUAUCCAUGACAAGAGUAAAUAUGGAGGAAAUAUUAACUCAUAGUUGAUAGAAAAUCUCUUCAUCCAAAAGAUUAAAAAAAAGGAAAAUCAUUAAAGUGGAUAAAACCUCUACUACCUUUGGACGAAGGUUACAUUCUGUUGCAUUUGAAAAUUAUAGGGAACCAUAGUAUCCAAGAGAAGCAUAGGGUAAUGAAAUCUUGCUCUUCAUCUUUUUGAGAUAAUUUAGAUGAUCAAGCUAUGAAAUGAAAGAUGUACACGAUGGUUAUGCUACGUUGGUAGAUGACCUCAAAUCAAUACAUAGUAGGAUAUUUCUUGCUAAUAUGCAAGUGCAUGCGAUCAUAUUGCGUUCUGUUUCUUAAAGUAAAAUCUUCUUUUUUUGGCCUACCUUAAAUAUAUCUUAAGCUAGUAAACAAUAUAAGUUAGUUUGGAUGCUUUAUUAUCAAAGGAUCGCCUUUUAAAAAUUGAGCAUUGCUUACACAAGAUCAAUUUCCUUUCUAUCACAUUAUUUUCAUUCUUUCUAUUUUUUCUUGUGCUUGACUUCCUUUGUAAAUCGGGACUUUUUAUCCAUGUCUAGAUUUUACAUAUAUAUAAUAUUGAUAAGUAUAUCUAGAUGUCAAAUUAUACAUGUCAGAUGACAUUAUCUCAACAUUGAACAUGUUUUUACCAGCUAAAUUGAUAGACUUGUCUAUUGAUUUUCAUAUGGCUUCACUAUCAUAUAUGAUGGUUCUCUGAAAAUGAUGAAUGGUUUAUCCAACAUUCCCAUAUGACUAGCAUAUGCUUUGUAAAUCACACUUUUUUUUACUGUUAUAUUUGUUUCAUAGUUUAAUUUGGUGAAGUUUCACAAUAUAUGUUUUAGAGAAGGUGAAUUGAGCAAAAGGGCCACAACAGGAUUCACAACGACAAUUACAGCAACAACAACCAAAUAUAUUACAACAAGACAUGCUGCUAAGGCACCAAACAUCAGACUCGUUCCAGAAACAUCAUGCAAUUAAGUAGGAAAAGCAGUUAUUGCAAUAAGCAAUUUCCUUUCCAGCAGAAUCAUCAAGUAUGUUUCUGACUUUCGCUACACGCACGAACAUAUUUAUCAAGUUGUACUGUCAUCAUUAUAAGCCUGUAAAAUGUCUGAUCACUUGUAGCAUUAUUUAUGAGCACCAAUUAUUAUCUUGAUCCGUGUGUCAAUGUAUACCCACCAGGACAAGGUUCACGAAGCACGUGUUUUUCUUCUUCAAGAUAUUUGAUUUAGAUAUUAAUUUGGUAGUCAAUAAAAAGGUUAUUACCUUCUUCCAUGUCCCUUGAUUAGUAAGAAAAUAACACAACAUUGUUGUCUUUGUGUAUUGAUUUUGGCACUAAGUGCCUCUAGUGACCUAUUUGCUUCAUUUUUCUGACUUGCUAUUAUUUUUAAAUAUGUGCAGGAAGAUUGCUUCUACGACCUGCCUUACAAUACUGGGUAUCAAAUUUUCGUGCUACGUUUACGGAAGACAAGGGACGAAAUUAUGAAGUGUACUCUCUCUAUAUAUGUAGAUAUAUAUUUUGAUUGAAGAACUGUGGUAGCUUUAGAUGGUUAAUUGUAAAGAUAAUGAAUGAUUAUGUAGUGGAUGAUUUUAUUAAGUUAAUAAUAUUUUAGUUUUUUGUAUUUUUGCC